UGCAGAAGAAUGAGAUGAAUAUGAGACAACCAUGAUAUAGAUCAAUUUGAUUCUCCUUGAUCAUAAAAAUAAGAUAAAUUUUUUGAUAUUCUACUCCAAUCAAAUAUAAUUUAUAAUUAAAAAAUUUAAUUAAUUAGAUUUAUUUUUUGAUGCUAACACUGUCAUGAGUUGAUCGAAAGAUUUGAAUGGACAUCCGAACUCAAAUUUAAUCUGUGAGCAGCUAAGACCCUUGAGAUCCAACACAAAAAGAGGAUCUUUAGGUGAUCUGUUGGCUUUAGUUUCUAUAUAGUGUUUGAUCUUUUUGAUGGAGGAUCGAUA
rnacentral:lncRNA from 1 species